ensembl:lncRNA
UGUAAAUAUAAAAGUAAAUGUAACAUUAAGGAGGUGUAAAGGGGAAAGUGACAUGUAGUAGGUGUAAAUGGGAGUGUAAAUGUAAUGUAAAUAUAAAGGUAAAUGUAACAUUAAGGAGGUGUAAAGGGGAAAGUGACAUAUAGUAGGUGUAAAUGGGAGUGUAAAUGUAAUGUAAAUAUAAAGGUAAAUGUAACAUUAAAGAGGUGUAAAGAGGAAAGUGACAUAUAGUAGGUGUAAAUGGGAGUGUAAAGGGGAAAGUGACAUGUAGUAGAUGUAAAUGGGAGUGUAAAGGGGAAAGUGACAUAUAGUCGGUGUAAAUGGGAGUGUAAAUGUAGUGUAAAUAUAAAAGUAAAUGUAACAUUAAGGAGGUGUAAAGGGGAAAGUGACAUGUAGUAGGUGUAAAU